AUGGAUAAAUAACACCCUAAAGCCAGUCCCAACAAGCUUGCACUGAACAUCAAGAAGCCUGACAAGUCCUUCAAAUGCAAGAAGCCCACCCAAAAUGUGCUGGUCUUUUUAAUCAACAGACAACUGGGCAGGCACAGAAGCGACAUCGACCUGUCAAGGUGGAUAUGGAUGCUGUCAUAAAGCAACUCCAGGGUGAACAUGGCCUUGGACAAAGAGUCAUGUGGCUUAUGUGCUGAGGCCUGCCCAGAAUUUUGAGAUAUUAAUUAUAAUUAGAACAAUAAACUCCUCCCAUGUUUGAGCUAUUAAAA